AACGAACGCUGGCGGCAGGCUUAACACAUGCAAGUCGAACGCCCCGCAAGGGGAGUGGCAGACGGGUGAGUAACGCGUGGGAACAUACCCUUUUCUACGUAAUAGCCCUGGGAAACUGGAAUUAAUACCGUAUACGCCCUACGGGGGAAAGAUUUAUCGGGGAAGGAUUGGCCCGCGUUGGAUUAGCUAGUUGGUGGGGUAAAGGCCUACCAAGGCGACGAUCCAUAGCUGGUCUGAGAGGAUGAUCAGCCACAUUGGGACUGAGACACGGCCCAAACUCCUACGGGAGGCAGCAGUGGGGAAUAUUGGACAAUGGGCGCAAGCCUGAUCCAGCCAUGCCGCGUGAGUGAUGAAGGCCUUAGGGUUGUAAAGCUCUUUCACCGAUGAAGAUAAUGACGGUAGUCGGAGAAGAAGCCCCGGCUAACUUCGUG
rnacentral:rRNA from 1 species